rnacentral:rRNA from 1 species
UAAGGAAUCUUCCACAAUGGGGGCAACCCUGAUGGAGCAAUACCGCGUGCAGGAUGAAGCGUUUCGGCGUGUAAACUGCUUUUGUCACCGAAGAUUAUGACUGUAGGUGAAGAAUAAGGACCGGCUAACUACGUGCCAGCAGCCGCGGUAAUACGUAGGGUCCAAGCGUUAUCCGGAAUUACUGGGCGUAAAGCGUCUGUAGGCGGCUUAAUAAGUCGAGUGCGAAAUCUUGCGGCUCAACCGUAUAGACUGUGCUCGAAACUAUUUGGCUAGAGGUAGGUAGAGGCAAGUGGAAUUUCUGGUGUAGGAGUGACAUCCGUAGAUAUCAGAAGGAACACCAAUGGCGAAGGCAGCUUGCUGGGCCUUACCUGACGCUCAGAGACGAAAGCGUGGGGAGCGAACGG